AACGCACCUUGCGCUCCUUGGUAUUCCGAGGAGCAUGCCUGUUUGAGUGUCAUUAAUAUAUAUAUCAAACUUCUCUUGUUGAGUGGUUUGGAUGUGGGGGUUUGCUGGCCUCUUAAAUGGGGUUCAGCUCUCCUGAAAUGCAUUAGCAGAACAAACCCUGUGUUCAUUGGUGUGAUAACUAUCUACGCUAUUGAAUGUAAGGGGCAGUUCAGCUUUCUAACAGUCCUUGGACAAUUCAUCAUUAAUGUGACCUCAAAUCAGGUAGGACUACCCGCUGAACUUAA
rnacentral:misc_RNA from 1 species